rnacentral:rRNA from 1 species
GACGAACGCUGGCGGCGUGCCUAAUACAUGCAAGUUGAGCGAUGAAGCUUGGUGCUUGCACCAAUUUGAAGAGCAGCGAACGGGUGAGUAACGCGUGGGGAAUCUGCCUUUGAGCGGGGGACAACAUUUGGAAACGAAUGCUAAUACCGCAUAACAACUUUAAACAUAAGUUUUAAGUUUGAAAGAUGCAAUUGCAUCACUCAAAGAUGAUCCCGCGUUGUAUUAGCUAGUUGGUGAGGUAAAGGCUCACCAAGGCGAUGAUACAUAGCCGACCUGAGAGGGUGAUCGGCCACAUUGGGACUGAGACACGGCCCAAACUUCUACGGGAGGCAGCAGUAGGGAAUCUUCGGCAAUGGACGAAAGUCUGACCGAGCAACGCCGCGUGAGUGAAGAAGGUUUUCGGAUCGUAAAACUCUGUUGGUAGAGAAGAACGUUGGUGAGAGUGGAAAGCUCAUCAAGUGACGGUAACUACCCAGAAAGGGACGGCUAACUACGUG